rnacentral:rRNA from 1 species
GUCGGUGUCGAUGACGGUAAGGUUCCACCUGUUCCCAUUCCGAACACAGAAGUUAAGCUUACUUGUGCCGAAGAUA